rnacentral:lncRNA from 1 species
ACAUACAUCAGGGGCGUCCGCAGGAUUAAAUUUUAAGGGGGGCUUGGUUUUUAUAUACAAAAAAAUUGUAUUUUUAAAAAAAUACAAAUUUAACAAAUAUCAAUUUUAAUAACAAUAAUUGCAGCUUGCUUUUUCGUUGACAGGGCAUACAUACGUUAUUAAGAUGAAUAGACAAAUGAGAAAAUCUGUUUGUACUUUGGUUGGAAAGGAUACAUUUCUAAUCCAUAAAGAAUGGAAUUAAACAAUAUGAAAGAAAAUCAGAGAAGAAACAAAACGCUUAAGUGUAUCUCGCAACCUGCCCUCACAAAGAUGGAGAAGAAAGGUACAAAAUCAGUUGGAAUUUACUUGUUAGCCAAUUCUUCAAUAUCAAUAAUAGUGGUCAAUUGUUCAGAGCUUAAAAGUGGCUAAAUUUAAUUCAAUCAAUCAACGUUCAGAACAACGA